AUGUUGAAACACCAGUUCUUGUACAACCACUAAAGUUAAGCAACAUUGAGCCUUAUCAGUACCUAGAUUGGUGACCGGUUGUGAAUACCAGGUGCUGUAAG